rnacentral:rRNA from 1 species
GACGAACGCUGGCGGCGUGCUUAACACAUGCCAGUCGAACGGAAAGGCCUUUUCGGAGGUACUCGAGUGGCGAACGGGUGCGUAACACGUGGGUGAUCUGCCCUGCACUCUGGGAUAAGCCUGGGAAACUGGGUCUAAUACCGGAUAGGACCGCACUUUAGUGUGUGUGGUGGAAAGUUUUUUCGGUGUAGGAUGAGCCCGCGGCCUAUCAGCUUGUUGGUGGGGUAAUGGCCUACCAAGGCGGCGACGGGUAGCCGGACUGUGAGGUUGGUCGGCCACAUUGGGACUGAGAGACGGCCCAGACUCCGACGGGAGGCAGCAGUGGGGAAUAUUGCACAAUGGGCGCAAGCCUGAUGCAGCGACGCCGCGUGGGGGAUGACGGCCUUCGGGUUGUAAACUCCUUUCGCCAGGGACGAAGCGUUUUGUGACGGUACCUGGAGAAGAAGCACCGGCUAACUACGUG